AAUUAUAGUUCCAAAGGAGUAGGUCCGGUAAGACCUCUUUUUGGCCCCAAAAUAUAGCGGUUUUACAAAAUUGUUAAAAUGUAAACUUUUACUUAGUUAUUGGAUAGUAGAAUGGUUCUGCUACAUAAAUAUGGGCUAUUUUUGACACUACAAUGCACAUAUAUUGGGUACUAGCACCAUGAAAUCGUGCUAAAUUACUGAAAUCUUCACAAUUCCAUCAUUUUAGUUAAAUUUUAGAAGGUUUCCGGGUAAAACGAAAUUUGCCGCAUUCGUGUUCAUCCAAAAUAUUGAAAUGGAAGUUGUAUUUGAUGAUAAUACAUAACAUAUGUAAAGAUUGAGAAUGAACACGGAUGCGUCCACUUCCGUUUUUGACAAAAACCAUCUGAAAAGUGACAUUUUUGCGGAUAUUUGAUAGAUUUUUCAUAUUUGAGCUUG
rnacentral:lncRNA from 1 species